GAUAAACGCUGGCGGCGUGCAUAACACAUGCAAGUCGAACGAUGAAGAUUUAAAGAUUUCUUCGGAAUGAACUUAAUUGGAUUAGUGGCGGACGGGUGAGUAACGCGUGAGUAACCUGCCUUGUACAAGGGGAUAGCCGUUGGAAACGACGAAUAAUACCCUAUGACAUCAAAUAAUCGCAUGAUAAUUUGAUCAAAGAUUUAUCGGUAUAAGAUGGACUCGCGUCUGAUUAGCUAGUUGGUAGAGUAAAAGCCUACCAAGGCAACGAUCAGUAGCCGGCUUGAGAGAGUGUACGGCCACAUUGGGACUGAGACACGGCCCAGACUCCUACGGGAGGCAGCAGUGGGGAAUUUUGCACAAUGGGGGAAACCCUGAUGCAGCGACGCCGCGUGAUUUAGAAGGCCUUCGGGUUGUAAAAAUCUUUUGUAUGGGAAGAAAAUGACAGUACCAUACGAAUAAGGACCGGCUAAUUACGUG
rnacentral:rRNA from 1 species